rnacentral:rRNA from 1 species
AUUGAACGCUGGCGGCAGGCCUAACACAUGCAAGUCGAGCGGAUGAAGGGAGCUUGCUCCUGGAUUCAGCGGCGGACGGGUGAGUAAUGCCUAGGAAUCUGCCUGGUAGUGGGGGAUAACGUCCGGAAACGGGCGCUAAUACCGCAUACGUCCUGAGGGAGAAAGUGGGGGAUCUUCGGACCUCACGCUAUCAGAUGAGCCUAGGUCGGAUUAGCUAGUUGGUGGGGUAAAGGCCUACCAAGGCGACGAUCCGUAACUGGUCUGAGAGGAUGAUCAGUCACACUGGAACUGAGACACGGUCCACUCCUACGGGAGGCAGCAGUGGGGAAUAGUGGACAAUGGGCGAAAGCCGGAUCCAGCCAUGCCGCGUGUGUGAAGAAGGUCUUCGGAUUGUAAAGCACUUUAAGUUGGGAGGAAGGGCAGUAAGUUAAUACCUUGCUGUUUUGACGUUACCAACAGAAUAAGCACCGGCUAACUUCG